rnacentral:rRNA from 1 species
UACAGAGGUCUCAAGCGUUGUUCGGAUUCAUUGGGCGUAAAGGGUGCGUAGGUGGCGCCAUAAGUCAGGUGUGAAAUCUCGGGGCUCAACCUCGAAACUGCACUUGAUACUGUGGUGCUCGAGUACUGGAGAGGAGAUUGGAAUUUUUACGGUGUAGCAGUGAAAUGCGUAGAUAUCGUAAGGAAGACCAGUGGCGAAGGCGAAUCUCUGGACAGUUACUGACACUGAGGCACGAAGGCCAGGGGAGCAAACGGG